CCCCUCCCCCGCGUCUUUCAUUGCCACCGCUUUUUGCACAGGAUGAAGAAAUGGAAUCAAAUGCAGCAGAAUAAAUAUCGCUUCCAAAUAGCUCUAUUUUUCACUCGGAUUGUUAUCUCUUUUAUAUACUAUAAACUACAGUAUCUGUUCUGGUGGUUUAUAUCUGUUCGGUUUAGGAGCUUCUGCAAUCAGGGAAGGAGGAUUUCGUAUCAUUAGUGGCAAAUGUGCUCUGUGAUUCUACGUGGUCCUCGAUACAGAUGGAAACACUUCAUUCUGAGUAAGUAAUCUGUUUCUCUAACGUCUUUUAUCAUAUUGCCCUAAAUCUCGGAGUCUGAAAUCAUCUCGGAAUCUGAAAUCUUCGUUCUUCGCUUCGUUCUUCAUCUUCGUUCAUCCGCUUCUGAGUCUUCAUUUGCUAACAAAAUUUCUCGUAUAUGUAAGUGUGGUAGUUUGGACUGUUGCUCUAUUUCCGGGUUUCUGACUUUCUGGGCGUUCUCAAUUUGUAACUUUGUAUGCACCGUGGUAUUUUGUGCUAAAAAAUAUCAUAUCGUACGCAUAAAGUGAAGUUUACUGUACACCUUAAAUUCACCGGGAGUUAUGAGUGCACUACUCGGUUGGCACUGUAACGAGUUUUAUUAAUGACUAAACACAUUUAAUCUUAACGCUUUGAUUUCGAGCAAAUAAAUAUUUUAUUGCUUAUUAGUGUUUCUCUUUUCCACUCAAUAUGUCUCUGCUACAUAAUUUCUUAGUAGGAGACUGCUUAAAUUUAGUAAAAAUGGGUAAUUAGAUGGAAGUUAAAAAAUGCAUUUGAUUUUAUGGGUUUCAGUUUCGUGGAAACUGUGGAAGUGUUUGUCGCCUAAUAUCAGUUAUUUAAGACCAAUAUUUCUGCUUAAUUACAGUCACAGAUUUAUCUGAAAUUCGCACCACUGGUCUUAUUUGAAUAACAGGUUAACUUGAAAGAUUACCAGAUUAACUCAACUCUACAUGCAGUAUUUAAUUGCAGAUGAAGUGUUUAUUAAAAAGAUGCCUUCUGGAUAUUCCUAGUGCCUCAUACCAUAUUUUUCUUUUUGCUGCCAACUCCUUUUACUCGAUGGUUUGUUGAUUGCUCGUUGGUGACUAGAGAUUUAAAAAUUUGAUAAGAUGGCCAUUAUUUUUUAAGGCAUUUUCUUGACUUCUUUCUCUUAUAUAUGGAAAUGGUUAUAUAGUAUGCAUCAAUCAAAUAUAUGAUGUUGGGAUUGACUAGUAAGACACACAUACACGUGCAUAUAUAUACAAGUAGCCUUCAUCAGUGUCUCAUCUUAACUAUGUAUAUCAUUGUAUGUAAGAAUAUCUCUACCAUCUCACUAGGAAGGUCCUCAAAAGAGUAACAAUGUUUAAUACUUGUUUUCUUUCUACUUCUUGGAUACAUCCAUUUCACUGUUUUGCCCCGGCAAACAAACCUUAUUUACUCAUAGUUGCAGGAGAUCUUUUAGAACAAUCUGCAUAGUUCAUGGUGUCACCGCUUGCUGUUGCUGGCCUUUUAAUUGUUGGGAUGAACUUUUGUCCUCCUAUAAGUAGUCUUUAUUGCCUUGGUCUUUUAGUUGGCACCAUCUUUUAUUUGUUGGGAUGAACAAUUUGCAUAGUUCUUUCUCUUCCAUGCUGUAUACAUAGUCUUUUGUUCUUCUAAAUAGUUCAUUGCUAUCAAUUUAGCAGGCAUAGACUACUGCAUCAAGAACAGCUUUGCAAGUAUUCUAGGUAUUAGUUGUAAUUCUAAAUAAUUGCAUAGGCUUUUCCUAAUUCAUGACAUUCCAAAUAAUAAUGUGACUGAAACUACUUUUUCAGGUGAGAGGAUUCCUUCUUAACUAUGGUGUGUAUUUUGCCACAAGAGCUGCUUUAGGUCUAUCAUUCAAGUUGAGGUAAAUUCAUAUUUAAUAUCCGUUGUUAUAGACACAAGUUUAUUCAGUUGAAUUGUGAUUAGCUAGAUUGAAGCAAUUAGAAGUUAGCUUGAAUGGUACACUUUUUUUUUUUUAAUUAAUCUCUAGAUAUAUAAAUAUAACUCUGAAAUAAGGUUCUUGAAUAAGCACAUGUUAGUUCAAGGAGUGUAUGCUUCAAGAUGCCGUCUGAAACAUUUAAAACUCUAUUAUAGUAAAUUGCUUUAUGGAUACUUUCCCAAUUAAUCUAGUCAUUUUCAUGCCCUUGUUUUCUCCUGCAACUUACGCCCCACGCGAUCGCUUUCGAUCCGUCCCGGUAGCGGCCGCAAAACAGCGUGGAUAGCACGCUGCAGUAGGACGGAACAUAUUGUUUUGAGCAAAAUGCAGGCUGCCUAAAAUUGUGCAGUUUUCCAGGGCGUUAAUGAGAUUUUUCUAAGUCCCGACCCAGCUAUUUUGGGAGGAAAAAUACAUGAACCUGCAGCGGGAUAUUUUGGGAUGCAAGUAGGCAACUUGCACAACUUGUCCACUUGUGCCACUUGCAAGAUAUUAUCAAAGAUAAAAGUUAAGUGCGAGUUGGCGAAGAUAUUAUCAAAGGUACAAGUUGAGCACGAGUUGGCAAGAAUAAUAUCUACUAUGCAAGCUAAGAUCGAGUUGGCGACAACUUGCAAGGAAAGUUGUAAGUUUAUCCACUUGACGACAACUAAGCAUGAGUUGUAAACAACUAGCACGAGUUGUGACCAACUAAGCAUAGGUUGUAAAGUAAUGCAACUUGAUCUUAAGGAGGUUUAAGUUUUGCCUAUAAAUAGAGAUGGAAGUCUCAUUUGUAAAUCAUGUAGAGUUGAGUGAGUUUAUUCAUUAGAGAGAUUGUAAAUUUUUCCCUUUCAUAUAUACAAAGAAAGCUUCCCAACCUUACUUGUUUUCCAUAUAUCCCUUACUUCAAAAUUCUCUUCUCAACGUGGGUAUAAUUUAGCCUCCUUGAUUAAAUUAUUUGUGAACGUGGAAAGGUUAACUUAACGUUUUCUCGUGAGGUGCGGGAAUUGUCAAGCGUUAAGGCUGCACGGUUCUAGUUGUUCGGGUGUAACGAAACUAGGUCCGUGACAAGUGGUAUCAGAGCCUCGUCUGUAGGCCGUUACAAUGGCGGAAUCUCGAGAAACUGUUGAUAUUGAGAUUGAGGAGAGGGGUCGAGGUGUUGCCCAAACUGAAGUAAGGAAAACUCAAGGUAAAAGUAAGGUGAGGGAGGCCACCAACAUGAAAGGUAAACUUAACCAAAUCAUCUCAAAUAUGGGUGAUCGGGUCGAAUCUCUUAAAAGCUCCUUCGAGGCGUUGGAGGGACACGCCAUUGGAAAGCUAGAAACUCUACAAAUUAAUGUCCAAGAGGUGAUGGACACACAAUCAUCGUUGGAAAAUGAUGUCCAAACGAUGAUAGAUGAUGUUCGAGCUGUGGUAGCCGGACAAGCCGCGGUUACGGAUGAUUUUGGUCGUCUCCAAACCAAAGUCUUGGAUGCCGUUUCCGCCAUGCAUGGCCAAGUUAACCAAUUGGCUGUGAUGAUGGAAAGAAUGAGCAAAGAGCUUGAGCAAUACAAGCACUCCACUGCCGGUACAAGCGGAGGUGCCGCUUCAACUAUUGUUGCCCCGAGGAUUGAAUACCCGAAGCCUAAAAAUUAUGAUGGGCGACGGGAUGCCAAAGAUGUGAAAAACUUCUUAUGGCAAAUGGAAGUUUACUUUGAAGGCGUAAAUCUUGUUGAUGAAGCCAUGAAAGUCCGGACCGCUUCUAUAUAUCUUACCGACACCGCAUCUCUUUGGUGGCGUCGUAAGCAUGCCGAUGUUGAACAUGGAGCUAGAAGAAUUGAUACUUGGGACGAGUUCAAAAGGGAGCUAAAAAGGCAAUUUUACCUGGAUAACGUUGUGUACGAGGCCCGCAAGAAACUAAGGGAAUUGAAACAAAAAGGGAGUCAAAAAUGGAUGGAUGUACAACAUGGGUGCGAUAAGAAUUACAACGUCGCGGAGUCAAAAAUGUAGAUGAGGCAAUUGCGGUUGCCGAAUCUUUGACGGAGUUCCAAAGGAGUACGGAGUCGCAAACAAUGACUUUCAAACCAACAAAAGGGAAUUUUGGCAGAGGCGGAGGUGAUAUGCGAAAAGAUAAGCAACAGGGUAAGCCAAAUUGGAGGCCAAAUCCCAAAGUUGGUUACAAACCUGGUGGCAACAACCCAACUACUUGGCGGAAGGAGUAUGAUGAUAAAAAGGGGUAAUUUUGCUCCUCGUAGUUACUUCAUUUGCAAAGGGCCACAUCUCAUGCGGGAUUGCUCUAAACUUGGAUCCUUGACAUCUAUUACGGAGACUCAACCAGAGGCUUUCCAUGACAAGGAAGAAGGUGCAAGUCACAUGGGUUCAUUGCAACUUUUCAAUGCUUUGAAUGUCAAAACUAUUCCGAGGGCGAACGGAGAAAAAGGAUUGAUGUUCGUACUUGCCGAAAUCAAUGGACGGUAAACAUGGGCAUUAGUUGAUACCAGAGCCACACAUAAUUUCAUCACGGAGGCUUGGAUUGAAUAUUCACCAUGGAGGUGGAUUGAUGAAGACAGUAAAUGCAAUCGCAAGGCCAUUAGCGGGCGUAGUUCGAGGAGCGAAACUACGGUUGGGUUCGUGGCAUGGACCCGUUGAUAUAUCUGUGGCCCCGAUGGAUGAUUUCAAGCUAGUAUUGGGUUUGGAUUUCUUAAGGAAGGUUAAUGCUAUUCAUAUGCCUUCCUUUGGUUCGAUGUGCAUCUUGGAGAAGAGAUCAUCAUGCAUGGUUCCUACCGUUUCCAUGGGGACGGAAGCGUGACAUCUUUCGGCUAUACAAUUAGCGAAAGGAUGGAAGAAGGGUGAGCUGACAUUCAUUGCUCAAUUGUCGGUUGCAAUCGAAGUCACCACAAAUAAUGAUGACUUAUCGAAUGUUAUUGCAAAGGUCCUUGAGGAAAAUAAGGACGUGAUGCCCAAAGAGUUGCCAAAGAAACUUCCGCCUAGGAGGGAAGUAGACCAUCGCAUUGAGUUGGAGCCUGGUGCCAAACCCCCGGCCAUGACACCUUAUCGCAUGGCACCUCCGGAGUUAGAGGAACUUCGAAAACAACUUACGGAGCUUGUGGAGACGGGAAGGAUUAAACCAUCCAAAGCUCCCUAUGGCGCCCCAGUGUUAUUCCAAAAGAAGUCAGACGGGACAUUAAGGAGGUGCGUUGAUUACCGGGCACUAAACAAGGUGACGGUGAAAAACAAAUAUACUAUCCCAUUGAUUGCGGACUUAUUUGAUCGGCUUGGUAGCGCUAAGUUCUACACCAAGGUUGAUUUGCAAAAAGGCUACUAUCAAGUUCGGAUUGUGGAAGGAGAUGAGCCUAAAACUACUUGCAUUACUCGGUAUGGUUCCUAUGAAUGGCUUGUCAUGCCGUUCGGUUUGACAAAUGCGCCGGCCACCUUUUGCACCUUGAUGAACAAGAUAUUUUAUCCAUACUUGGAUAAGUUCGUGGUGGUUUAACUUGAUGAUAUUGUCAUCUAUAGCAACACGUUGGAGGAACAUGUUGAGCACUUGAAAAUAAUCUUCCAAGUGUUGCGGGAAAAUGAAUUAUACAUCAAGAAGGAGAAAUGUUCAUUUGCCAAAGAAGAGGUGCAUUUCUUGGGACAUAUCAUCGGGCAUGGUCACUUAAAAAUGGAUGGAGCCAAAGUAAAAGCAAUCAAUGAAUGGGAGCCACCUACUAAGGUGACGGAGUUGCGGUCUUUCCUUGAAUUGGUAAAUUACUACCGACGUUUCAUUAAAGGCUACUUAUCUAGAGCAGCCCCUUUGACGGAUUUGCUUAAGAAGUCUCAAGGAUGGGAGUGGACCGUGAAAUGUCAAAGAGCCUUUAACGAUUUAAGGGCGGCGGUCAUGUCAGAGCCGGUGUUGGCCUUAUCGGAUUUCAACAAAAGUUUUGAGGUUCAAACUGAUGCAUCAGAUUUUGCUAUUGGAGGUGUGCUCAUGCAAGAAGGUCAUCCUAUUGCCUUCGAGAGCCGCAAGUUGAAUGAUACGGAGCGGCGUUACACGGUGCAAGAAAAAGAAAUGACAGCCAUUGUGCAUUGUCUACGGGUAUGGCGUCAUUAUCUUUUGGGUUCCUGUUUUGUGAUCAAGACGGACAACGUGGCUACAAGUUACUUCCAAUCACAAAAGAAGUUGAGCCCAAAGCAAGUUAGAUAGCAAGAUUUUUUAGCGGAGUUUGAUUAUGUGAUGGAAUACAAACCCGGGAAGGUGAAUGUAGUGGCGGAUGCACUUAGCCGGAAGGCGGAACUUGCGGCAAUUAGUCAAGCUAUGGGUACCUUGUUAGAGGAAAUUAAACAAGGAUUGGAGCAUGACCCCAUGGCGAAAACAUUGAUGCAAGCCACUCGAGAAGGAAAAACAAGGCGAUUUUGGAUUGACAACGGGUUGCUAUACACCACUGGGCAACGGGUAUUUGUGCUUAAGUGGAGAAAUUUGCGGCGUGACGUAAUUCGGGAAUGUCAUGACACCAAGUGGGCUGGACAUCCCAGGAUAGAUCAGACAUUAGCUUUGAUUGAACGAGCAUAUUAUUGGCCGCAAAUGAAGGAUCAAGUUGAGACAUAUGUCCGGACAUGUCUUGUGUGCCAACGAGACAAAGUGGAGAAUAAAUUACCGGCGGGACUUCUUGAUCCUCUUCCCGUUCCGGAUCAACCAUAGGACAUGGUCACCAUGGAUUUCAUUAGUGCCUUGCCAAAGUCCGAAGGGUUCGAAUCAAUAAUUGUUGUUGUUGAUCGAUUUUCUAAGUAUGCUACUUUCAUUCCAGCCCCUAAGGAUUGCACUGCGGAGGAGACGGCAAGGUUAUUUUUUAAAAAUGCUGUGAAGUAUUGGGGGUUGCCGAAGCAUAUUGUAAGUGAUCGGGAUCCCCGCUUCACGGGGAAAUUGUGGACAGAGUUGUUUAAACUCCUUGGAUCGGAUUUGUACUUUUCAAGUAGUUUUCACCCGCAGACGGAUGGACAAACGGAACGGGUGAAUGCAUAGUUGGAGUGUUAUCUUCGACACUUUGUUAGUGCUAAUCAACGGGAUUGGGCGAAGUUGAUGGACAUAGCCCAAUUUUCCUACAACUUGUAGAAAAGUGAAUUCACUGGACAUAGUCCAUUUGAGCUUGCAACAGGGCGACAACCUACAACACCCCACACAUUAUCUAUGGUUAGUGAUUCUAACCGAAGUCCUGGAGCAAUCAAAAUGGCUAAGUCAUGGGGAGAUCAUGUGGACUUAGCAAGAUCUUGCUUGGAGAAAGCCCGGAAGCGAAUGAAGAAAUGGGCCGAUGUGAGACGAAGACCAUUGGAGAUCAAGUACUUGUGAAAGUGUUGCCUCAACAAUUCAAAGCCUACUACAAAGUUCACAAGGGCUUGGUUAGAAAAUAUGAAGGUUCGUUCCCCAUCCUAGCGAAAGUUGGAAGAGUUUCCUACCGGCUAGAUCUUCCAAGCACUUUAAAGAUCCACCCGAUUUUUCAUAUAAGCAUGUUGAAACCAUAUAGGCCGGACUUGGAGGAUCCAGGGAGAAACAAAUCAAAGAGAGCGCCUCCCAUCGUCACAAAAUCUUUUGAGAAAGAUGUUGAAUCCAUUUUGACGGAUCGAGUUGUGAGACGGAGAGGUGUUCCCCCUUGCACUCAAUACUUAAUCAAAUGAAAGGGAUUGCCCGAGUCCGAAGCUACUUGGGAAAAUGAGGGAAACCUAUAGCAAUUUGAGUCCGAGCUUCAGAACUACAUGGCGAUGAGGGCGUCGCCAAAUUCGGUGGGAGAGUGACUUACGCCCUACGCGGUCGCGUUCGAUCCGUCCCGGUAGCGGCCGCAAAACAGCGUGGACAGUACGCUGCAGCAGGACGGAACAUAUUGUUUUGGGCAAAAUGCAGGUUGCCUAAAAUUGUGCAAUUUUUCAGGGCGUUAUGAGGUUUUUAUAAGUCCCGACCCAGCCAUUUUGGGAGGAAAAAUACAUGAACCUGCAACGGGAUAUUUUGGUAUACAAGUAGGCAACUUGCACAACUUGUCCACUUGUGCCACUUGCAAGAUAUUAUCAAAGAUAAAAACUAAGCGCGAGUUGGCGAAAAUAUUAUCAAAGGUGCAAGCUAAGCACGAGUUGGCAAGAAUAAUAUCUACUAUGCAAGCUAAGAUCGAGUUGGCGACAACUUGCAAAGAAAGUUGUAAGCUUAUCCACUUGACGAUAACUAAGCAUGAGUUGUAAACAACUAGCACGAGUUGUGACCAACUAAGCAUAGGUUGUAAAGUAAUACAACUUGAUCUUAAGGAGGUUUAAGUUUUGCCUAUAAAUAUAGAUGGAAGUCUCAUUUGUAAAUCAUGUAAAAUUGAGUGAGUUUAUUCAUUAGAGAGAUUGUAAAGUUUUCCCUUUCAUAUAUACAAAGAAAGUUUCCCAACCUUACUUGUUUUCCAUAUAUCCCUUACUUCAAAAUUCUCUUCUCAACGUGGGUAUAAUUUAGCUUCCUUGGUUAAAUUAUUUGUGAGCGUGGAAAGACUGACUUAACGUUUUCUCGUGAGGUGCGGGAAUUGUCAAGCGUUAAGGCCGCACGGUUCUAGUUGUUCGGAUGUAACGAAACUAGGUCCGUGACAUGCAGAUCACUUGUGGCUCUUAUUACAACCGUCAUAACUAAAGAUCUUCCAGAUGUAGGCGGUGAUCGCAAGUAAGUUUUAAAACCAAAACUUUGCAUGAAUUGCUCUAUUUUAUUUUACCCACAAAAGGUUUUUAUUACUAACAUUUUAUUAUUGCCAUUUCUUUUCAUUUUCACUUGUGCUUUUUGAAUUUUGAGUCAUAGAAAGAAGCCAUAUCUUUUCAUGAAGUGCAAUCCUAUCUUACAUUCCUUAGGUGAUGAGCAUUCUCUCACGAUCUAACAUAAUUAACCUACUUUCCAUUGAUAUGUCCUUAUCUACAUUGGUUCAAUACUGGUUGUGAUUUACAUGCCUCGGGUGAUGUGCAUUCUUUCAGGAUCUAACUUAUCCUACUUUCCUUUGAUAUGUCCUUAUCUACUUCACAUGAUAUAGCACUCAUUUAUGAAACAUAUUACAGGCGCUCAAGAGAAGCUCGAUGAUACUUGCACAUCUCAUCUUGGCAGCGAGUUUAACUUUCACAGUAAAUUUAUUUUAUUAUUUCUAGUUGGAUUGUGAUUAAUGCAUUUUUAUUCGAACAAAACUCAAUUGUCUUUAUUUUCUCUUCUCGUUACGAAAAUAAUUACAAUUUUCUGCCCCGUUUUGUCUUAAUCUACUUGAAUUUAUCAAGAAUAAAAAUU
rnacentral:lncRNA from 1 species